rnacentral:rRNA from 1 species
AGAUUGAACGCUGGCGGCAGGCCUAACACAUGCAAGUCGAGCGGCAGCACGGGUACUUGUACCUGGUGGCGAGCGGCGGACGGGUGAGUAAUGCCUAGGAAUCUGCCUGAUAGUGGGGGGAUAACGUUCGGAAACGGACGCCAAUACCGCAUACGUCCUACGGGAGAAAGUGGGGGAUCUUCGGACCUCACGCUAUCAGAUGAGCCUAGGUCGAUUAGCUAGUUGGUAGGGUAAGCCUACCAAGGCUACGAUCCGUAACUGGUCUGAGAGGAUGAUCAGUCACACUGGAACUGAAGUACACCGGUCCACGUACCUACCCGUAAGGGGACG